rnacentral:rRNA from 1 species
UUCCGGUUGAUCCUGCCGGAGGCCAUUGCUAUCGGAGUCCGAUUUAGCCAUGCUAGUUGUGCGGGUUUAGACCCGCAGCGGAAAGCUCAGUAACACGUGGCCAAACUACCCUGUGGAUGGGAACAAUCUCGGGAAACUGAGGCUAAUUCCCAAUAACGCUCCACCCCUGGAACGGGCGGAGCUGGAAACGCUACGGCGCCACAGGAUGUGGCUGCGGUCGAUUAGGUAGACGGUGGGGUAACGGCCCACCGUGCCAAUAAUCGGUACGGGUUGUGAGAGCAAGAGCCCGGAGACGGAAUCUGAGACAAGAUUCCGGGCCCUACGGGGCGCAGCAGGCGCGAAACCUUUACACUGUACGCAAGUGCGAUAAGGGGACUCCGAGUGUGAAGGCAUAGAGCCUUCACUUUUGUACACCGUAAGGUGGUGUACGAAUAAGGGCUGGGCAAGACCGGUGCCAGCCGCCGCGGUAAUACCGGCAGCCCGAGUGAUGGCCGAUAUUAUUGGGCCUAAAGCGUCCGUAGCUGGCCGGACAAGUCCGUUGGGAAAUCUGUUCGCUUAACGAGCAGGCGUCCAGCGGAAACUGUUCGGCUUGGGACCGGAAGACCUGAGGGGUACGUCCGGGGUAGGAGUGAAAUCCUGUAAUCCUGGACGGACCACCGGUGGCGAAAGCGCCUCAGGAGAACGGAUCCGACAGUGAGGGACGAAAGCUAGGGUCUCGAACCGGAUUAGAUACCCGGGUAGUCCUAGCUGUAAACGAUGCCCGCUAGGUGUGGCGCAGGCUACGAGCCUGCGCUGUGCCGUAGGGAAGCCGAGAAGCGGGCCACCUGGGAAGUACGUCUGCAAGGAUGAAACUUAAAGGAAUUGGCGGGGGAGCACUACAACCGGAGGAGCCUGCGGUUUAAUUGGAUUCAACGCCGG